UUCUCCCUCACUCCCGGCGCCGCCCGAGCCCAAACCUCCCUGGAUCCCGGCGCCGCCCCACCCCCACCUCCUCCCUCGCUCCCGGCCACCCAUGCCGCCUAUGCGCGCCCCUCCCACACACUCCCGACCUCCUCCCGGCGCACAUGCCACCGCCCCUGCUCCUCCCUCCUCCAGGAGGGCGCGCCGCCGCCCCUUUUCUCCCUUCCCCCUGCCGGCAUGCGCGCCGCCGCCCCUCUGGCCAUCGCCGGCAUCCCGCUCGAGCCCGUGAACCCGAGGAAGAUGGAGUCGAUGGAUGAUGGGAAGGAGCAGCGGCUGCCUCGUGGUGACCUCGAUGCUGCUACUGGUAUGUGCUGUGCAAUCUUCAGAGAUGAAAAAAAGAUAGUACAGAGAGGAGAGAGGAUUGCAGUUCAGACAGAUUGACUGGUAAGGUUCAGAGAUGUUGCUGAAUGGAAUACACGACCGAAUGGAAUCUAUAAUUUGCAGCUAUACCAUCCUAUAGUCCGGGAACCUGUAAUGUGCUCAAUAAAUCCAUGUUUAUACUUUCCAAGUUUCACUUGCAUGUUUCCCUUGUAUUGAUGUUGUGGCUGGUAAGUGCCUGUCUCUUAUGGAGUAUAGGUUGCAGUGGAGUAAGUGAAAAGUGUACAUGAUUGUAGGUUGAAACUUGCUAAUUAUGAUUGAGCAGAUGGAGCCUGAUGCCCGCGUCUAUACCUCCUAAGUCGGAGGCGGCGUACCAUGUGUCAACCGCCCUGAACCCUGGUCCUCAUGAUCACGUCAACCAAACAGGGUCAACGACAAGGAUGCUUCUGAUGUAGUAGGUCUGGAUGCGACACCUUUCCUGAAUUUGCUUAUGUAUGAUGCAUUUCAUAGUGUUUCUUCUAUCACGGUAACAAGAAUCUCUACCUACUUUAUUGGUGUAUGGUCAAUGUAUUGGUGAGAAAUUGAGGUUGAAUACCAAUAUACGCACAUACAGCAGCAAUGGUUGAUGACAACAACAGCCUUGUAGCUUCAGGAGUGGAGCAUGAGGAGGGCUCUGUAUUGUGGCGGGGAAGGAGCGGAGGAACUGUGCAUCCGGGAAUGGCGCGAUCGCCGAUCCUAUUUAUUGCUCUACUGUCUGACAGGUGCCACAACGGCCUUGUAGCUUCAGGAGCGGAGCAUGGAGCAGGGCUCUGAGUCGUGGUGGGGCAUGUCGGAGGGCUCUGGGUUAUGGCAGGGAAGGAGCGGAGGAACUGUGCAUCCGGGGAUGGCGUGACCGCCGAUCAUAUCCGUCGCACUGGUGCCUGACAGGUCAAAUGAUCAGCAAGGCAUGUGACAGCAUCUUCAGGCCCAACUCUCACUCUGCUGUCGCCCAUUCAACGCACUCGUCGAUGCUAGGGGUGGAUGGUUCUUUGAUGCUGGCACAACUGGAGACAGCAAGAAGCAGAGGGAGGGAGGCUAUCAUGUUGAAGAAGACGCCGGCACCCUGACAGCGGAAAUGCGGUUUCUCGGAGCUUGCGGGAAGGAGGCCGAUGGCUUCCCGUUGUAGUAACGCGAUGCUGAAGCAACAACACACCAGCCUGCAAGGUGAUUAGCAGUCAGCAAACUAUUGGAAAGAUGCUGGUACCUCAUUUUUCUCAAGCUCUGAAGACAUGCACAAGAAUAGAUCCGUCGAUGAAGUAAACAACAUAUUUCAAGAUAUGAUGGUUAGAGUGCAGCUUUCAGAUAAUUUUCUUCCCUCGGGAUAUUUGAAGACUGUUUGUUACCCAUCAAGUUCAGGAAAACCAAGGGUAUCAUAUGAAUUGGAUUACGUAGAAGACACAGAGAUAAAAGUUGAAGGUGUAUUUUAUCUACUAUCUCCACGAUGACACUGGUGCCUGUGCGCACGAUGAUGGCAUGGUGACGAUGAAUUGGAUUACGUAGAAGGUCGUCUUCCCGGAGCACCACGCGCUGGCCGCCGUCUCCAUCUGCAGCCGCGCCAACAAGACAGAAUCAUACCCCACCCACGUGGCGGCACGACGCAGAAGGGCUACAUGGGUCUAUAGUGGCGCGUGCAAUGGAAAGACACCUACAUGGGCCUAUUAAGCAUGGACUUCACAACCCACUUAGAGCUCCAGAGAUUGUUUUCUUGUACUAUGAAUUUAAGGCGGUUCUCGAGAGAAACAAGUUGCCAUGGACCGGCGAGAUCAAGACAUGGCUCCGACAACAUCAACCCGAGCGGUGGCCGUGAUAGAGAGAGCGUUCGUGAGAGGGGAUGGAGUGGCGGCUGCGCGUCUGUGUCAGUCGACCAGUUGCAAGAGGGGAUGGGGCGGUGGCUGCGCAUACGCGCUUGUGGAGGUGCCGGUAUGCACCCUGAUUUAUUUGAGCCUGGGAGGUGCCGCAUUGGGGCGUGGACGACAAGAAGUGUAGGCAUGUGCCCAGCAUAACGGACCAUGAUGGAUUGCUGAGGGGAUGUCAUGUUGCGGCUGGAGCCAUCAUCGACCACGAUGUCGCGCUAGGAGAACAAGGGCAAAGGCGAGGACAUGUUGGUGUUGUUGGAAUAAGGUUUAUUGGGUCUUCCUCCUCCAGCAACAUAUUACACAAUGUAUUUAAGCUGAUUGAUUCUCUUUGGUAAAAAUGUCUCUCAUUUGCUUUAUGAAACUUUACCUUUGUAAAAUUAACUGAGUUAUAUACAUCUAUGUGUGGUAUCUAUCUGGUUAUAUUAAACUGCAGUUCAUUCUUCUUGCUGGAAGGGGUGCCGUGAAAUAUGAUCUGGAUGCCAUUGAAGUUGUAUAUAUGUUGUUGUCCAUUGAUGGAGGGGCGAG